rnacentral:rRNA from 1 species
AACGAACGCUGGCGGCAGGCUUAACACAUGCAAGUCGAGCGCCCCGCAAGGGGAGCGGCAGACGGGUGAGUAACGCGUGGGAAUCUACCCAUCUCUACGGAAUAACGCAUGGAAACGUGUGCUAAUACCGUAUACGUCCUUCGGGAGAAAGAUUUAUCGGAGAUGGAUGAGCCCGCGUUGGAUUAGCUAGUUGGUGGGGUAAAGGCCUACCAAGGCGACGAUCCAUAGCUGGUCUGAGAGGAUGAUCAGCCACACUGGGACUGAGAUACGGCCCAGACUCCUACGGGAGGCAGCAGUGGGGAAUAUUGGACAAUGGGCGCAAGCCUGAUCCAGCCAUGCCGCGUGAGUGAUGAAGGCCCUAGGGUUGUAAAGCUCUUUCACCGGUGAAGAUAAUGACGGUAACCGGAGAAGAAGCCCCGGCUAACUACGUGCCAGCCGCCGCGGUAACAC